GAGAGAGAGAGAGAGAGAUGUAUGUAUCAUUUUAACUUGUUAUAGGUGGUUAUUUGUCUCCAUGUUUGUGUUGUAAUUGUGUGAUAUUUUUUGUGACUAAUCUUCCACCUUGCUAAUUUUGGACUUGGCCCAUACCAUUUUUAGUUACUGGGUUGUUUUAAUUAUUGACCAAUUGAGAAGUUUGUUGGACUAAAAGCUGUGAAUUCUAUUAAAAAAAUUGAUUGAAUUGAAU
rnacentral:misc_RNA from 1 species